rnacentral:rRNA from 1 species
GAUGAACGCUGGCGGCGUGCUUAACACAUGCAAGUCGAGCGAAGCACUUAAGUUUGAUUCUUCGGAUGAAGACUUUUGUGACUGAGCGGCGACGGGUGAGGUAACGCGUGGGUAACCUGCCUCGUACAGGGGGAUAACAGUUAGAAAUGGCUGCUAAUACCGCAUAAGCGCACAGGACCGCAUGGUCUGGUGUGAAAAACUCCGGUGGUAUAAGAUGGACCCGCGUCUGAUUAGCUAGUUGGUGGGGUAACGGCUCACCAAGGCGACGAUCAGUAGCCGGCCUGAGUUAGGGGAACGGCCACAUUGGGACUGAGACACGGCCCAG